AUUUAUAGAACAUUUUCUGAAACUCCUUAAAAGUCAAAAAAACAUAAAUAUUUUUACCACAACAUAUGCUUUAUACAUUAUAAAUAAGUCAAAAAAUAUUUUACUUUUACAUGCAACAAAAGAAAAAAUGGCUAAAACCCUCAAGAUUGUGAACAAUAUGAUUUUAUUUCUUUUCCUAUUUCUUAUCAUAAAGAAUGCUGAAGCAGGUAAUUUCCAAGGCAAGCCUUUAUCGGAGAAAGCUAAAGGUAAUUUACUUUUUUCAUCCUUUUCUAAAUUUCCUUCUAUAGUUUGUAAUUCAAAUACAAUAUUUUAUCUCAUUUUAAUAAUAUUAUUUUAUUAUGUUUUUUCAUUGUAACAGCAAAGUUAAGGGAGUGUCUAAAUUCUAAUUGUCACCUAAAUCUGGUAGACGUGUACCAUUGUAUUAUGAGCAAAUGUGACUCAAAACAACCGAAUGAAGAUGAAUAAGUAUUAAAAUAAAGGAAUAUCAGAAUCAAAAGAGUACUCUAAUAUAUGUAAUGGAACCAAAUAAUUGUAUCUUUUAUUUAUUUUUAUAUUUGUUAGUUUACAUAUUUUGCAAUUCCGAGUUUGUACUCUAAGAUUUUGGUAUUAAAAUGAAAUAUAGAAAAAAAAUAUUAUUAUUAGAUUGUGUUCUUCUCUCUUAAUUAUAUAACAUUUUCUUUCCAACAAAUUUUUAGAAUGUUAUAGGUUUUGAUAUACAAAUUAAAGCUUUGAAUUAUAUUACAUAUUUCUGAAUUA
rnacentral:lncRNA from 1 species